UAGUGCUGGUUCUGAUGGAUCAAAUUGGCUUCCAGAUGAUAAUCUGAACAAAGGAAAAUUGGAGUACUUUUACUGGUUGAUCACGUUAUUGCAGGUUGCUAAUCUUAUUUACUACCUAUUUUGUGCAAAGAUGUAUACUUUUAAGCCAAUUCAAGUCCACAACAAAGAAAUCAGUGACUCUAAAGAAAGUGGAGUAGAGCUCGCAAACAAGGUUUAGUUGCAUUUCCUCGAUAUUUGUAAUAAUUAGGUUACACAAUUUAGCUGGUAAAGAAUCGGUGUUCCUUAGAAUAAGAAGCAUGUCAUAUAGUAU
rnacentral:lncRNA from 1 species